AAGAGACGUUGCCCUUCGGGGUCGACCUCCCACCCUAUGUUUAUCAUACCUCUGUUGCUUUGGCAGGCCCGUCCUCGGACCGCCGGCUCCGGCCGGCCCGUGCCUGCCAGGGAACCUAAAACUCUGAUAAUUAUGUCGUCUGAGUACUAUUAUAAAUAGUUA
rnacentral:misc_RNA from 1 species